rnacentral:tRNA from 1 species
GCUUGGGUAGCUCAGUUGGUAGAGCACUUGCCCGUGAAAGGCAAAGGUCCCGAGUUCGAGUCUCGGUCCGGGACA